rnacentral:snRNA from 1 species
AUCCUAGUGCACGGGUUUUACACGUAUCAGUGAGGAGACAUCCGAGAUCGUGUUUUUGCUAGUUGAAAACUACCUAUAUGACCGCUUCAGUUGGUCCAAGGAUCGGCUGGGAAUUUUUGAAGAAAAAAAAU